rnacentral:rRNA from 1 species
UAAUAGUGUAUAUUAAAGUUGUUGCAGUUAAAAAGCUCGUAGUUGAAUGUUGGUGUCGAACGAGCGGUCAGCUUCGGCUGUACUGCUCUCUCGACUCCUUCCUUCUGUGGACUACGUCGCACUUUACUGUGUGGCGCUAGGACGCAGAUCGUUUACUGUGAAAAAAUUAGAGUGUUCAAAGCAGGCCGUACGCUUGAAUACAUUAGCAUGGAAUAAUAAGAUAGGACUACGGUCUAUUUUGUUGGUUACGGAUCGAAGUAAUGAUUAAUAGGGAUAGUUGGGGGUAUUCUUAUUUAAUAGUCAGAGGUGAAAUUCUUGGAUUUAUUAAAGAUGAACAACUGCGAAAGCAUUUACCAAGGAUGUUUUCAUUAA